AACCAAAACCUAAGUAUGACGAUUGGGUUUUCAUGCUAUUGUAUGAUAUGUGCCUUCCUUAAAACUUGUUAUACCAUCACAUCACCCAUCUGAUG
ensembl:snoRNA